CGUUCCCGGGCCCCCGCCCCGCGGCCUGCCGCCCGUGAUGAUGUCACAAUCGCGGCGGGCUCCGGCGUUCCCGGGUCGGCUUCGGGCGCCGAUCGGAGCGGGCAGCGGGCUCCUGAGUCAUGGACUUCCCCUGGCCCCUCCUCUACCACUCCCACCGCCGCGCCGGGCCCCCCCGCAGGGGCUAGCGCUCGCGCGGCGGCUCCGAGGGGGUGGGGCUGCUGGGAAUGGCUGUGCCCCCUUCGGCUCCUCUGCCGUGCUCGCCCUUUUACCUGCGGCGGCAGGCGCCGUGCCCGCAGUGCUCAUGGGGCAUGGAGGAGAAGGCGGCGGCCAGCGCGGGCUGCCGGGAGCCGCCGGGCGCCCCGAGGGCCGCCGCCGUCCCUUGCUUCGGCAUAUCCGUGGACCAGGACGACAUCCUCCCGGGCGCCCUGCGCCUCAUCCAGGAGCUGCGGCCGCAUUGGAAGCCCGAGCAAGUUCGGACCAAGCGCUUCACUGAUGGCAUCACCAACAAGCUGGUGGCCUGCUACGUGGAGGAGGACAUGCGGGACUGCGUGCUGGUGCGGGUGUACGGGGAGCGUACCGAGCUGCUGGUGGACCGGGAGAAUGAGGUCAGGAACUUCCAGCUGCUGCGAGCACAUGGCUGUGCCCCCAAACUCUACUGCACCUUCCAGAAUGGGCUGUGCUACGAGUACAUGAGGGGCAUGGCCCUGGGACCCGAGCACAUCCGGGAGCCCCGGCUCUUCAGGCUAAUCGCCUUAGAAAUGGCAAAGAUUCACACCAUCCACGCCAACGGCAGCCUGCCCAAGCCCACCCUGUGGCACAAGAUGCACAAUUACUUCACCCUUGUGAAGAACGAGAUCAGCCCCAGCUUUUCCGCAGAUGUCCCCCAGGUGGAGGUGUUGGAACAGGAGCUGGCCUGGCUGAAGGAGCACCUGUCCCAGCUGGACUCCCCUGUGGUCUUCUGUCACAAUGACCUGCUCUGCAAGAACAUCAUCUACGACAGCACCAAAGGUCACGUAAGGUUCAUUGACUAUGAGUACGCCGGCUACAACUACCAAGCCUUUGACAUUGGCAACCAUUUCAAUGAGUUUGCAGGUGUGAACGAGGUGGAUUACUGCUGGUACCCCGGCCGGGACACCCAGCUUCGGUGGCUGCGCUAUUACCUGCAGGCACAGAAGGGCAUGGCCGUGACCCCCAGGGAGGUGGAGAGGCUCUAUGUGCAAGUCAACAAGUUUGCUCUGGCAUCUCACUUCUUCUGGGCACUCUGGGCCCUCAUCCAGAACCAGUUCUCCACCAUCGACUUCGAUUUCCUCAGGUACGCAGUGAUCCGAUUCCACCAGUACUUCAAGGUGAAGCCUCAAGUGUCAGCCUUGGAGAUGCCAAAGUGACCAGCUUCCCCAUCUCUCCCUUACCCAUCUGCCUGGCCAGACCUGUUCUCCAGGGCUCUGUCCUGCUCUGGGGGCCACACACUUGGACAAGGUGGGAGAGGGGUCAGAUCCACCUCUGGAGCUGAGGGCAGAAAUAACCACUGGGAAGGCAGCUUCGUUUCCAGCCUCCUGGGGCCUUGAUGUCACAGCGUUGGAGACGGUGUUGCGGUGGUGAGCAGGGAAUGGCUGGGACAGGGUCCCCCAGGUACCAUCCUGUGCCCCUACGGCCCCGGCCGCCACCUGCACCAAAGGAGCGAACCUGCAGGCACCAUCCCACUGCCUUUGAGAAAACAUCCUCAUUCCUCCAGUGCUCCAGGGGAGGGGGCAGGUGGGGGCGGGGGGGGGGCUGGGUAGUUUAGGAGGCCCCUCCCCCUCAAGGCCUGGAGUCCUGUCUCUCCUUUCACUGCCACCCCAGACUAACCAGCACCCCUGCCCCCCUGGUUCCAAGCACCAGGCCUUGGCAACUCCCGGGGUCGGGGGGCUGGGCUCUACUCUCUCAGACCUUGGCUGGACACACAGCAGGAGCUCCGGGCAAAGCACACCAGGGCAGAGGUGGGUCUCUGCUGGGCUCUGACCCUCGGCCUGUGCCUCCUGCAGAGAGCGCAGAGAAGGCCCCAGCCUUCUGGUAACGACCAGGACCUUUUGUUCCUGGCCUCAGUGCCUCCCUGACGCUAUUGCCUCUCCUGAGGCAGGAGGGAUAGGGCUCCAGAGUACCAACCAGAGGUCCUCGUGGAGGGCACUGUCCAUCUUCAAAGGAUGCGGGGCAUGUGAUUCCAUCCCAGCAGCUAGAAUGAAGGCAGGACAAGGGGUCCUAGAGUGGGAGGAGCCACAGAGGACCUGGGAAUAGGGAAGUGAGAAGAACUCAGGGCUGGCAGGGAAUGAGGGCGAGCCUGGCUGGGAGGGUCCUGACAGACUGCCCUGAUUGGGUUAGGAACACAGUGUGGGAGGUAGUGGAGUCUGGAGGGUGGGAGGACAGGGCCAAGUUAAAGUGAGCAAUUCUCCCCAUGACCACUAGAGGGCAGGCGCCGCAGCCAGCCAUCCUCCUCAAGGACCACCCGGGUCUUUUCCUGGGGGGCCAGGGAGGCUGGGCUGUGCUUGUACCCUGCCUGAGAUGAGGAGGCCUAAAGCUCUGGGACGAACCCGCAAAGGCCAGCAGCCAAAAUGCCAGGACCUAAUUCCGCGGGGCGGGGGGGGGGGGGGGGGGAGUCUUCACUCCUCAGUUAGAGGCCCUGCAAUGAACCACACCUAACUUCUCUCACCCCCAUCCUCUCCUGUCUCCCUGGUUGUGAACACACGACCUCUAUUAAUCCAACCCAAGUCUCACUCUUCCACUAGGAUUACCCUUCAGCUUUGCUGCCCCCAUUCCAUACAAUGGGAUUAAUGUUUGAUGAGAGUUGGUCUUUUUGUUGAUCAUCGUUAAAAGGGCUGAUGACAGACUAAAACUUAAGUCUAAGGGGCUGUUAUUUCUCUUAGUGUGGGACACCUUUGAAAUCCUCAUUCAAACCAAAGGUCACCGAGCCCCUGAAGCACAUCGUUAGCGACCUUGCUUCAUUACUCAGUAGCCUGGAGAGCUCCUAAAUGGGCUUCGGGCACCCACGGGAGUCCUUUCCUGGGAGGAGGGUCCACCGCUUUCAUUAGAUAUUCACUGGGCUCCUUCUCCAAAAGGAGGUAAGAACUACGGUGAAGGCUUAACCUCCGUGUUUUCAGAGGACAAAGCCCAGAGGGGAGACCUGACACCCGCCUCUCAGCAGAGGCCAUGGGGCUGGUUCUGGCCUGCUUCCAGGGCUCUCAUUACUGAGACGGGGGUAGAGAAUGUGUGGUGAAGUCUAGCUUACCUCCUGGAGGCAGGGGCAGGGUCUUCUCUGGGGUGCGGGCUCUCUGGGUGGCAUCUGUCACUCCAAAGGCUUGGCCUGGGCUUCACUGGCCUCAGAGGUUUGCUCCCAGAUCCCAUGCCCGAAGCUCCCCGGAGUUGCCACAAGGGGGCAGUGGUGCCCAGGCUGGCGGCACAUUCAGGCAUUCAGGCUCCAGGCCAGCCUCCCCACCCCCCACCCCCCCCCCACCCCGACGUAAGAACCAGAUUCUGAAAUGGUCUGUCUUUAUUAUGCCAACAGAAAAAAAAAUUCCCCAAGUGUAAACAGGAGAAAGGUGCUGGUUAAGUUACUCAUCAUUAUCUUAUUAUUAACAAAAUAAAGCACUAUCUAUGUUUACAGUCAUAAAAAAA